CGAAUGGAUUGAGAGCUUGCUCUCAAGAAGUUAGCGGCGGACGGGUGAGUAACACGUGGGUAACCUGCCCAUAAGACUGGGAUAACUCCGGGAAACCGGGGCUAAUACCGGAUAACAUUUUGAACUGCAUGGUUCGAAAUUGAAAGGCGGCUUCGGCUGUCACUUAUGGAUGGACCCGCGUCGCAUUAGCUAGUUGGUGAGGUAACGGCUCACCAAGGCAACGAUGCGUAGCCGACCUGAGAGGGUGAUCGGCCACACUGGGACUGAGACACGGCCCAGACUCCUACGGGAGGCAGCAGUAGGGAAUCUUCCGCAAUGGACGAAAGUCUGACGGAGCAACGCCGCGUGAGUGAUGAAGGCUUUCGGGUCGUAAAACUCUGUUGUUAGGGAAGAACAAGUGCUAGUUGAAUAAACUGGCC
rnacentral:rRNA from 1 species